rnacentral:rRNA from 1 species
CCUACGGGUGGCAGCAGUGAGGAAUAUUGGUCAAUGGCCGGAAGUCUGAACCAGCCAUGCCGCGUGAAUGUCAGUGCCCUAUGGGCGUUAAACUUCUUUUGUUCGGGAGCAAUACUGUUCCCGUUUGGCCAGCCUAGAUUACCGUACUAAUCAGCAUCGGCUAACUCCGUGCCAGCAGCCGCGGUAAUACUGAGGAUGCGAGCGUUAUCCGGAUUUAUUGGGUUUAAAGGGAGCGUAGGUGGGUGGUUAAGUCGGUUGUGAAAGCUUGCGGCUCAACCGUAGAAUUGCAAUUGAUACUGGCAGGCUGGAGUGCAGAUGAGGUGGGCGGAAUUCGUGGUGUAGCGGUGAAAUGCUUAGAUAUCACGAAGAACACCGAUUGCGAAGGCAUCUUACGAAGCUGUGACUGACGUUGAGGCUCGAAAGUGUGGGUAUCAAACAGGAUUAGAUACCCCAGUAGUC